rnacentral:rRNA from 1 species
AUUGAACGCUGGCGGCAGGCCUAACACAUGCAAGUCGAGCGAGCGGCGGACGGGUGAGUAAUGUAUGGGAAUCUACCCUAUGGAGGGGGAUAACUACGGGAAACUGUAGCUAAUACCGCGUACCAUAGGAUGAGCCCAGGUGGGAUUAGGUAGUAGGUGAGGUAAAGGCUCACCAAGACGACGAUCUCUAGCUGGUCUGAGAGGAUGACCAGCCACACUGGGACUGAUACACGGCCCAGACUCCUACGGGAGGCAGCAGUGGGGAAUAUUGCACAAUGGGGGCAACCCUGACGCAGCCAUGCCGCGUGUAUGAAGAAGGCCUUCGGGUUGUAAAGUACUUUCAGCGGGGAGGCGUUACCCGCAGAAGAAGCACCGGCUAACUCCGUGCCAGCAGCCGCGGUAAUAC